UACCAGCACCACCAGGGCCCGGGGUUUGGACCGGCUCUCCCAGCCGACGUCGAGCCCAUGCUCUUCACCACGUUGGGUGAAGGCAGUCAGGUUCUCCCCCCUCCAGGAGAAAAUCCAGCUGAUCAGUGUUUUCCCUGCACCCGACAUUAGCUCUUGGGUAACUCGGACGUUUCGGCACCUCGUGCCUUUUCAGAGCCCAGGCGAGCCCUUACUUUCCCAGCUGGGAUAAGCCUCGCUGAAAACACGGGUCGGCUAGUGCAUCGGUGAACAGGGGUGGAAAUAACUGUAGCUGCCCUGUGGGGGGACCGAGUGACACGUAGACCUGGGAGCUGGCCAGGCCCGGGGGGCACCCGCCGGACAUGGCUCUGUGUCCGAGGGGGCUGUUAAUAGGCUCUCGGGGGUCCGGGAUGCCAUGUGAUACACGCAGUCCUCAGUACUGCUCUGUUGAUUCACACGACACGUGCUUGAUUUCUGCCAAAGCCGUCUAGGUGGGCUGGCUGGGCACGAGCCAGCGUGCCCGUUUCCCGGGGCCAUGCGGGGCCGCCUGGUGACGCUGCGGUGGGGUGGUGUCCGGGAGCGCUCCCCUCUCAGCCGGCCUGGCUUUGUCCUCCACAGCGGACAGCACGUUCGACAGCGGCCAGGGGUCCACCGUGUACUCGGACUCCCAGAGCAGCCAGCAGGGCGUGGUCUACAGCUCGCUCCCCGAGGCCCUGCCCGCCGCCGGCCAGGCCGCGUACAGCCCACCCGUGAGCGACGGGCCCUGCCUGCCGCACAGCCUGCCCGCGCUGGGGGCCUACCAGCAGCCCGCUGCGCCUGGCCUGUCAGUGAGCUCCGUCCUGCCCCCCGCCCGCCCCCCGCUGCCCCAGCAGCAUUUCCCAGAACCGGCAAUGACCUUCGCUCCCGUGCCGCCGACGCCCAGCGCCCCCGGGCCAACGGGCCUGGGCCAGCCGGCGCCCCCCAGCCAGCAGGUAAGCGCGGGGUCGCCCCGUCUCACGUCCACCCCGGCCACCUCG
rnacentral:lncRNA from 1 species